rnacentral:rRNA from 1 species
AGUGGAUGGGGAGCAACCUAGUUGUGCGUGUGUAAAGGUAGUGCCAAGAAAAGCGAUGAUCAUGUUGAAAAUCAAUUCCCGGUACCCGAAACCGACACAGGUGGACAAGUAGAGAAUACUAAGGGGCGCGAGGUAACUCUCUCCAAGGAACUCGGCAAAAUGACCCCGUAACUUAGGGAGAAGGGGUGCCACCGAGAGGUGGUCGCAGUGAAGAGGCCCAGGCGACUGUUUAGCAAAAACAUAGGUCUCUGCAAACUCGAAAGAGGAGGUAUAGGGGCUGACGCCUGCCCAGUGCCGGAAGGUUAAAGAAGUUGGUCAGUUUUAGGAUGAAGCUAGCGACUGAAGCCCCGGUGAACGGCGGCCGUAACUAUAACGGUCCUAAGGUAGCGAAAUUCCUUGUCGGGUAAGUUCCGACCCGCACGAAAGGCGUAACGAUCUGGGCGCUGUCUCGGAGAGAGGCUCGGCAAAAUAGGAUUGUCUGUGAAGAUACGGACUACCUGCAUUUGGACAGAAAGACCCUAUGAAGCUUUACUAUAGCUUGGAAUUGUGUUCGGGCUUCCUGUGCGCAGGAUAGGUGGGAGGCGUAGAAGGUAUUCUUGUGGGGAUACUGGAGCCAACGGUGAGAUACCACUCCCAGGAGGCUAGAAUUCUAACUUAAUUAAGGACAGUUUCAGGUGGGUAGUUUGACUGGGGCGGUCGCCUCCAAAAAGGUAACGGAGGCGUACAAAGGUUCCCUCAGACUGGUUGGAAAUCAGUCGAAGAGUGCAAAGGCAGAAGGGAGCUUGACUGCGAGAAGUACAGUUCGAGCAGGGUGGAAACACGGUCUUAGUGAUCCGACGGUGCUGUGUGGAAGGGCCGUCGCUCAACGGAUAAAAGUUACUCUAGGAUAACAGGCUGAUCUCCCCCAAGAGUUCACAUCGACGGGGAGGUUUGGCACCUCGAUGUCGGCUCAUCGCAACCUGGGGCGGAAGUACGUCCCAAGGGUUGGGCUGUUCGCCCAUUAAAGCGGUACGUGAGCUGGGUUCAGAACGUCGUGAGACAGUUCGGUCCAUAUCCGAUGUAGGCGUGAGAAUAUUGAGAGGAGCCUUCCUUAGUACGAGAGGACCGGGAAGGACGCACCGCUGGUGUACCUGUUAUGAUGCCAAUUGUAAACGCAGGGUAGCCAAGUGCGGAGAGGAUAACCGCUGAAAGCAUCUAAGUGGGAAGCCCACCUCAAGAUGGGUAUUCUGGUGUAAGGUCACGGGAAGACGACCCGUAAAUAGGCACGAGGUGGGAGUGCAGAGAUGUAUGAAGCCGAAGUGUACUAAUAGACCGUCGGCUUGAC